rnacentral:rRNA from 1 species
GAUGAACGCUGGCGGCGUGCCUAAUACAUGCGAGUCGAGCGAACGGACGAGAAGCUUGCUUCUCUGAUGUUAGCGGCGGACGGGUGAGUAACACGUGGAUAACCUACCUAUAAGACUGGGAUAACUUCGGGAAACCGGAGCUAAUACCGGAUAAUAUUUUGAACCGCAUGGUUCAAAAGUGAAAGACGGUCUUGCUGUCACUUAUAGAUGGAUCCGCGCUGCAUUAGCUAGUUGGUAAGGUAACGGCUUACCAAGUCAACGAUGCAUAGCCGACCUGAGAGGGUGAUCGGCCACACUGGAACUGAGACACGGUCCAGACUCCUACGGGAGGCAGCAGUAGGGAAUCUUCCGCAAUGGGCGAAAGCCUGACGGAGCAACGCCGCGUGAGUGAUGAAGGUCUUCGGAUCGUAAAACUCUGUUAUUAGGGAAGAACAUAUGUGUAAGUAACUGUGCACAUCUUGACGGUACCUAAUCAGAAAGCCACGGCUAACUACGUG